GGCACCGGCUGAAAGAAAAACAAGGGGUCCGACGAGAAGCUUUAAGAAACCGGACGGUCCCAUGGUCUUGGAUUAUGACAACAAAGGCCAACCUGGGCCCAAAUGGCGUCAACAAUAUGCUAAUAAAGUUGGCUUAUGUUCGCGGAAAAUCCCCAUUACACUUGUAAUGCGGCAAGUACCUUCGGGUUUGAUUCAAGCAUUUUGGGAUGAUACAAGGAGGCAGUUUUCUAUUCCUAAUGAUCCCGAGAAGAAAAGGGUGUUUGUCUCUUUAUUAGGGGAAAGAUUCAGAGGCUUUAAGACCAAGUUGACUAAUCGGUGGAUCCAUAAGAAGAAGAAGGUGCAAACAAAGAAGAAGAAUGCCAAAGAGGAAAACCAUCUCCCGUGGCAAAUAUGGCCGACCGUGUCAAAAGAUUAUUGGGAAGAGUUCGUUAGAAUGAAGAGUCAAAAGAAAGCCAUUGAACUUCGAGAGCAAAAUCAAGCGAAUGCAGAAAAGAAGGAAUACGUCCAUCGUAUGGGUCCUAGACUUUUGCUGAAAAGAGACCUGAGUGGGCCGCUUCGGGUUUAUACCCUAAAGCGGUUCUAGUGGCAUCGAAGGAACUCUCUAGUUCCACGAUCACUACAUUGGUGAGUCGUGCCGGUGAUUUCUUUUGUUCUCUCCAUUCGUUUGAUAAGAAAACCGGAAAAUGGUUCAUCAAGGGUCCGGAAGCCAAAAAACUGGCGGAUAAGCUACUUGAGCACACUCAAGAGAUGGUGGAGGGCAAAUUUGAACCAAGUGUGGAGAAUGACCUUUUCACCAUGGCUUUGGGAAGGCCAUAC